rnacentral:lncRNA from 1 species
CCUAAAGCAUUAGUUUUUUUUAACAUCAAUCGAGUUUAAUAAUGAUAAACAAAUAAAUCAAACAAACACUUACCAAACAUCUUCAGAAACUCGAAUGAAUCCAAAGAAACAUAAGGUUUUUUUUAACAUAUUAAACUCAUAUUAAGAGAAUAGCAUGGACAAACAAAGUAGAAUCACGGACACAUUAAAAUCAGAGAAAAGCUUUUGAAAAGAAGAACUUGAAGGAAACCCCUAAUCAGAAAAAUAUGAUAAGUCUUUUUUUGAAAGCAAAAUUAAAAAACAUUCGAGAGGGUGCUUAUAAACUCAUGGCAAGUAUGGAUCUAAAGUAGAUAUAAAAAAGUCAAAAAGGACUUACAAAUUAGGGUUUCAGAAGAACCAAAAAGCAACAAGAAAAGCCCUGAAAGUUACCGAUCUGAAUAGGAGAGUCAAAGGUCUGACUCAAAUGGCCAUGGCUAGCCGAAGAAAGGCAGAGAUGACUGGAGAAAGGUCAUCGAGCAAAGACUGGACCAAGCCCCUUCAGAGUCUAGUCAUGAGACCACCAAACCAAAUACGUAGAAACCAUGGAAGGUUGGUAUAGGUCUUUGGUAACAUCGAAAAGCCAUGGACAAGAGUGGAUUAGGGUGGUAAUUUGAUGGAGGCGCCUAGGGUUUGUAGGAUUUUCAGAGAGGGUUUGGGGGGGAAGAAGUGUUUAAAGG